ensembl:lncRNA
AGAGGGUUAAGGAUCUGGCGUUGCCCUGAGCUGCGCAUCACAGACACGACUUGGAUCUGGCGUCGCUGUGAUCUGUGUGAUGUAGGCUGGCACCUGCCGCUCUGACUGGACUCCUAGCCUGGGUGCUUCCGUAUGCCGCGGGUGUGGCCCUAAAAAGGCAAAGGUAUGUCUAUCUACAUAUAGCGACAUUAGAGGAUACUAUGGGGAAAAUUAAAACAGGCGAGAGGAAGCUGCCCAGGGGUUGCUCUUUCCAGGGCCCACACAGUGCACAGCGGAGCAGGUCCCUGACUCUGGUCUGGCCAGCUCCUCAGGGCUGAGUCUGAUUCCCGCACCCCCCAGCUAUAGCCAGUGAGGGCUGCUAGGAUAGAAAGACCCCCUGGAAUCACCUGCGACCCCAAGAGCCAGAUUCUCUCAGCACAACCCCCUCAACCCAGCCCUGCCAGGACGUUCUCUUCUCCUGUAUUCCUUCCCCCUCCCUCCCCAAAACUGACACCUGAACCCAGCCGCUGAGACCUGCACAGUCCCGAGAGGGGACUUGGGGGGGAAGCAACCAGCAAACAGACCAUGACAGUACUGAGAGGUCUGGCGGGGCCUGUGCAGGGGCUGUGGGAGCCCCGGGGUGGGGCCAGGUGGGGGCUGAGUUUUCUGUCUGGCUGUCUUGUGCAUUGGAGUGUGGCUAGCAGAUGCCAGCAGCACCCCACCCCAAGUCAGGGCAACAAAAACAUCACCAGACAUGGCCAAAUAGUCCCUUUUGCAAAUCACCCUUCCCUUGAGAGCCCCUAGUGUAACGCAAUGUCACUCAACUUAUUUGACCAAGAAGCACCUUUUAUUUGGGGGUGGGGGGGACAUCUCUUAAUACUGCGUGUAACUGUUAUUCUGAACACUUCAGGAAGCGCUGCAUCCAGAUAAAGCCCAGUUCCCUACCACAGGGUCAGGGCUUUGGGAUCUGGGUCCUGUGUGUCCCCGUGGCCAUACCCCUCACCACACCAGUCUCUGCUCUUUACUUCAGUAAAGCCCAGCAGUUUGCAGCUGCCUGUAUUCCCUCUGCAUUUGAUGUCCUGGGCCUUUGCUCCGGCUGCCACCCGCCCCCUGGAAUACCCUCCCAGCUGUCCUUGCCGGCUCACCUGGUCAUUCUUCAGGAUUGCACUUGGGUGUCACUUCCUGCAGGAAGCCCCCCGAUGCCCAGACGGGGCCGAGGGCCCACUUUGUUCAUGAACUCCUGUCCCCCCAACUCUCGUCCUUCUCUCUGAGACCUGAGACAAGACCUGUAGUCCUCUAGUCCUCCAGGCCAUAGUGUUAGUAGUUGGGGGUCAUGGACCCACUUCUCCCGAUUGACCUUCCAGGCAGAGGCUCGGUGUUUUCAUCUCCAGACUCUGGCAACGUGUCUAGCACAAAGGAGAUGCUCCCUAAAUGUCAAAACGAAUUGACAAGUAAAUAGAGCAGGGAUGAGAUGAAUGAGAUGCGGGGACUGAGGACCAGACUACACAGGCUUAGAGGAGGGAACAGACCAAGGGGGAGUCUCCUUUUACGCAGAAGAGGGGAUGGUUAAAUUGCCUGCCCUGGUCCUCUUUCCUUGAGGCUAGCGCUUCUGUUGCCUUAACCUUUCAUCCCGCAUCCACCUCGUUUUGAAGCCCUCUAAUCGGCUUUGCCGUUCACCUCCCUCCGUGCCGUCUCCACAUUUUCCAGAGGUCGCAUCUGUUCAGUGGGAUGUGUUCAGAGCAGCAGGGAUGCGAGCCUGUUCCCCCAGAGCGAAGCUUCCACUUAAUUAGCUUGGGAUUCUGCAGUUCCCCAACCCUCAUUGCCCUGGGCCUGGAGGCUGUGGGAGCAGCCCUACCUCUGGGCGCCAGCAAAUUGUUUCCACAGAGAAGUGAGUGGAGAGAAUUGAACUGGUGGUUGGGCUAAUGAGUUCUUUUUCUGUGUCAGGACUGCUCCACAGGGAGGCUGGGCUUCUGGGGCUGGAAGGACCGGGGUGUGGAGGGCGGAGGUGGGGGACUGGGCCUGGAGAGGCGCCGUGCUCUGAGCUGGAAGGUCCCCACUCGAGGAGCUCGGAGGGAUGUGGCGGGGUUGGUGCCUUCGGCUGUGAUGGGGGCAGGGUGGGGGCCCAGGGGCGCUCAUAAGUUCUAGGCUCUGGCAUCCACAGCAGUCCUGUGAGGGAGAUGCCAUCUCUGGUCACAGACAGCAAAGCCGUGAUGAACAGACGGAGGGACAGUCUCAGGGGCACCAGUUAGGAGGGAAGAUACUGCCAACAGAGAGGGGGUCAUUGCAGCCCAGAUAUCGACCUCCCAGCCCGGUGAUUUCCAUCACCCACAGCUCCUUCUUGGGCUGGACUCUCCAGGUCAGAGGCAGCUCUGUGGCCUCGACAUUACAUGACACAGGCUCCGCACUAGGCUGGGCAGCCUUGAACUCCCAGACUGUGACACCCUGGCCAGCCUGCCGGCCUCUCUCGUUGGCAAUGGCCCUCAACCAGUUUGAACCUGUGCCUUCUAGAGUUCUCCUCGUGUUCCUUCUGUCUAGCCUGCCGGUGCCACCCAUCUCAGCUCCUCACACAGCAGCUGCUUGGGGUCCCUGUGGGCCCCUUACCCUUCAGUGGCCCAGCAAAUCCCUGCCACGCUGGCUUCUGUGUACCCCUGGGCCUGACUGGGUUUUGUCAGUCAGACCAUCAUCGGUCAGUCUGUCCAUCAGUCAACAAGUGUCUGUUAAGGGCCAGGCAUUGUUCUAGGUGAUGGAGAUGCCAAGGAGAAUGAGGCAAAACUCCCUGGGAGCUUGUGCCCAUCCUCAUAGGGUCUGGUGGGGACAGUUUAAUGCAGGGAGAGAUGCAGGACCUGUGGGCUGCAGGACCGCCUUCCCCUUUAAUGCAGUCCAGCUCCACGGCAGACACACAGAGGUAGCUCUGCGGUGGACAACCCCGCCUGGGCUUGUGCCGCUCUACCCCCUGCCCCCCCAGGAUGCACGGAAGCUGCGGGAGAUGCCACACACACACACUGCGUGCGCUUAGGGAGAGGCCUGGAGGCUCCUAAAGGAACGCAGGGUCCGCCCGUUCUGCCCCUGCUGGUGGGUUGAGGUCAUCUCACGGAUGUGGUUUCCGAUCAGACUGCUCUGGCCAAACUUCAUGCCACACUGAUGGGAGGCACUGGGCCCUUGACCUGAGCCCCGGUGCUUCCUUUUCCUCUGGGAAGUGGCACUGCACUAGGCCUGGCUCGCAGGCGUGGGUGUGCAUGAACAAUGCACAGUGUUGGCGUGGGGGGCACGCAGCAGGGACUCGGUGAAUGACAGCUCGGUGGCCUCCCUGCACCCUCCGAGGAAGCCCUCUCUGCCUCCUCGGUCACACCUCCUUGGCAGCUGUCCAGCAUCCUAAGAGUGAGCCACCUGGGAAGAAUGCAGUGACAGAAAUACUCAGCCCCAUCCGGAACCUCCCUGCUGGCAGCUGGUCCUUGAUCCUGGGCUUCCCCUGGAAGCGGCUGUGUUUGGCUCUGUCGUGCCCCUGGGGGUGGCCUCAGGGAAGUCACCCAAACUGGCCCAGCCUCAGUUUCCACCCCUGCCAGCCACAGAUAAGAGUACCUCCUUGGAGUGCUGGUUGAGUGUGUCAGGUAACACAGUGCAGGAGUGGCCACCUUUCUUUCUUCUAAAGAAAGCAUGAGAAGGUGGAGUGCACGGCAGAGGACAGGACGGCAGGAGGCCAGGAGGCGGUGGUCAUGAGCCAAAGAGACACGUGGCCCUUGACCGGAGUCGGCACAGAAUCUAUCAGCUGCAAGCAUGGGGCCUCGCUGCCUGCUGGCGUUUUGCUCAAAGCUCUUUACCCAGUGUGCCUCACGGAAGCCUUACAGAAGCCUCAUGAGUUAAUCCCAUUUCACAGAUGAGGAAAGGAGAGGCUAGAGAGGAAGCUGCUUGAGGUCGCCCAGCUUGGAAUUGGCAGAGCCAGGAUUCAAACCCCCAUCUACCACCACAGCCCCUCCACAGGGCUGCCGCCUGGGGUGAAGGGCAGGGUCUAUCCCAGCUGGGCCCGAGGGGCUAAGUCCCUAAAUCCCUCAUCCGUGAGGGAGGGCGUAGGCCUUCCAGCUCUACAUGGAAUGUGUGACAUUGACUUGGGGGUCCUCGCCCCUCUCCAGCCCUGACAGGGAAAUGCCUUAUAAACAGAGGAUUAACUAUUGGCUCUGCUGCCUUGAGUCACAUCUCCUGUCCUGCCAAAUUGUUGGAAUGGUUCAGUGACAAGUGUGUUCUUAGGAAGAAAUUUAUGAGGCCUUAUUCAGAGUGAGUCACCACAUCACUGUGGUGAGAGGCACGGGGGAACAGCCUGCUGUAGAAACAGGCUAACUUGCUCUGCUCCCAGCUGCCCUGGGCCUGGCUGCCUCCCCAGGCUCCCACGAGCGUCAGUGCUGCCCAGUGAGGGUGAGGGCAGUGGGGAAGGGAGAUGGCCUCCAGCUGGGGGAAGUUGGUGCCUUGGGGUGGAUUUGCAUAGACCUCACACUGGGUGUGAUGGACUCCAGAAGUCUUUUUCUGCCUGUCACACAAUUUCUUAGGGUGCUUUUGAAUCACUCUCCAGGUCAUCCUCUAAUGACUUUCCAAGGGUUUUUUUUUU